rnacentral:rRNA from 1 species
UACGGGGGGGGCAAGCGUUGUUCGGAAUUACUGGGCGUAAAGGGCGCGUAGGCGGCCAUUCAAGUGACGGGUGAAUCCCUCGGCUUAACCGAGGAACUGCCUGUCAGACUGGGCGGCUUGAGACCGGGAGAGGUGAGUGGAAUUCCCAGUGUAGCGGUGAAAUGCGUAGAUAUUGGGAGGAACACCAGUGGCGAAGGCGGCUCACUGGACCGGAACUGACGCUGAGGCGCGAAAGCGUGGGGAGCAAACAGG